CCUACGGGUGGCUGCAGUCGAGAAUCUUCGGCAAUGAGCGCAAGCUUGACCGAGCGACGCCGCGUGUGGGAUGAAGGCCCUCGGGUUGUAAACCACUGUCGUAGGGGAGGAAGGCUCCGUGAAGAGCGGGGCUUGACCUAUCCUAGGAGGAAGUACGGGCUAAGUUCGUGCCAGCAGCCGCGGUAAGACGAUCCGUACGAACGUUAUACGGAAUUACUGGGCUUAGAAGGUUUGUAGGUAGGCCAGUUGUGAAAGCCCUCGGCUCAACCGAGGAAUAGCGCUUGAUACUGCAAGGCUUGAGGGAGACAGGGGUAAGCGGAACUGAUGGUGGAGCGGUGAAAUGCGUUGAUAUCAUCAGGAACACCGGUGGCGAAAGCGGCUUACUGGGUCUCUUCUGACGCUGAGGAACGAAAGCUAGGGGAGCGAACGGGAUUAGAUACCCUGGUAGUC
rnacentral:rRNA from 1 species